rnacentral:lncRNA from 1 species
CCUUUUUAUACCUUUGGUUCCUACCUCUCUAUAGGUAACGGGUCAAGGUCCAUCUUCGACUUCCAUUAAACCCACCUUAAGCAAUAUAAGUCCCGGGGCAAUACUUCAUAUAGUAUUGAAUCGUUCUUCGCUUGAGUUCUAUUUUUUCCAUUCCAUUUUAACUAUUAAAUUAUAAACAAUAUUUCUUUAUUUCACCGAGCCUAUCAAACAUCUACCCAAACCAUCUUUUGAACCCAUUUUCUCAACUUCCGCUAUAAAAAAAUCAUCUAACUCCAUC